UCUCAGGCUGGCCUGAGAAUAAAGCAAUCAAGACCACAUUAAAAUUAUGUCUUUUUUUCCCAAGACUCAUUAAGGAACUGUGAGAAAAUCAGUACACCAACCUGUUGUGAAAUCCCAGUGUAAUGUUUAACUAAUUUUCUGCCUUUGAGCAAUAUCCCCGCCAUUAGCUUUCUUUUUUCCUUACUGGCAGUUUUACUUAAUUUCUUUGAGGUGACAUAAUGAAAGAGUGAAAAGAACAUGUACCCUGGGUUCUACAGCCACCCCCUACAGCUCCACUUUCUGACUCACGGCCAGGAGAGUGCUGACUCUGUUUUUCCAAGUCCAAGGGGAGUUCCUUGGCAUCCUGGAAAGGACUACACGUGGAUGGCCCCUACACCAUGCUGACCUCUGGAGCUGAAAUCUGUAGCUGGCGCAUUUGCAGUUGAUCUCUGGGCUCCAUCUCAGUGGCGUAGCCCUCCCCCUAGUUUUGGCCCCAACCAGGUCCUUGCUGCCACCCUGACCUGGGUACUCAGCCCUCCCCCCAUAGCUAACAAUCAAAGCACUUUUGUGUAAUAUCUCAUCUGGCCAUUGUAAGGAUCAAGUGAGGCAGAGGAAAGGGCAUAUAUUAUAAAGCCUAAUUUACAAUUGGAGAAACGGAGGUUCAGAAUGCAUCAAGAUGCACACAGCAAUACGACUGAGUGACUUCAAGCUGGGGACAUUCUAACUCAGAUGUCCUCAGCUGAAAAGCCAACUGGACUCUAGCCGUGCAGACCAGUGAGGAUGGAAAUGAUUGCAAAACCAAGAUGGACAAUGUUGAGAUGGCCUCAACCCUGCUACUGAGAUUGGCCCUUAUGGAGGAGGAUAUUUGGUCCAGCAUUCAGAGUCUAAAGGGUACAGAGAGUGAGAAUUUAUUUCAGGCAGAUACCAAUAACCCUGAAGGCCCGGUCCAGCAGGCAGGGCAUUCCUGAGAUGCAGGCAACAGGUAACAUGCAAAGUCAGGUGCACAGUGGGAUGUGGUUUGAGAGAUUAGUGCCCCUCCCCAGUGAGAUUUCCACAGCCAUCUGUGGGAUGGUGGACUGAUGUCAUUCUAGCUCCUUAGGAAGGGGCAAGAGCUCAGUGGAGGCAGGGGCCCGGUGUGUAAGAGUACUGGGUGGGAAUCCGGUCAGACAAGGACCAGGAGAGAUUGGCAGGGGGCUGAAGGGUCAGGCCUAGAGACUGAGCCAGCAGGCAGCACAGAGGGCUCAUGGCACCAGAUUUUACCCCAAGCACAAAACCCUGAGAUGGAUUAGUCCCUAAUUUCAGACCUCUCUAGCUGUGGAUAGCUGACAUAUUUUCUUUCUCUGGGGUAAAUUAGAUCAGGACCUGGGAGGAUUGUAUUUUCUGGGAGAAGCCCUGGAAUACAAGAUUUGAUAUACUUAAAGGGAGCUCACAUUCCCUUCAACCUGGAGCAACUCACCUGGGAAUGUCUGAGUUGGCCUCAAAGUCUCAGCCAAAUCCAGACCUGUCUAAGGAAUGUGGAAGCUAAAACCAAUUUCACCUGGACCUUUGCCCCAUGGCAACAUCCUUGCUCCAUGAAUUGCUGCCUACUUAUAUGGAAGUUGAAGAGAGAAGACAUGUUUUAGCCAAACAAAUAACACAAAUGAUUUUUAUUAUGGAAUUAAAUAAUUAUGUAGAUAUAUUAGAGCAAAGUUAUUUUAUCUGGAUUGCAUUUGGCCUGUGCGUCCUAUUCGAAAACAAUCUUUAAAAAAAAAAAAUUUACAUCCUCCUACAAAACAUUUAUUCAAUUAAAAUGUGAACGACUAGUACCAUAAUGGUCCCUUGAAAGCAGGAUAUGGGAAACAACGGCAUUUGAGGGAAUGUGGAAAGAAACAACAGAAAGGAUUCUGGCUUUGAAAUUAGUAACUGGGCUUUCAUUCUGGGCUUUGACCCUGGCCAAGUCAUCUCAAGCCCCUGGUCCUUGUUUUCUGUACUGUCCUGCCUGUGUUACCUGCUUCUAACCUGAUUCGGGAGUCCUGGCCCCUUUCUUGACUUCUGGAGGUAUGGGUGGAAUCAAGACAGAUGUCUCACCUGCCAGCUCUGGGGAGAUUCUAUCAACCUCAUGGUUGAGGGUAGAUAAUAGAUUAUCCCAAACCCUGCUCCAAGGUGUAAAUGUUAACAAGAUUCUACAAUCUCAGUCCCCACUCCAGUUGUGAUACGUUCAACAAGCCCCAGAUAGAUAACUUCACCUCCCUGCCCUCACUUUCCUUUCCCUGCCCCAUCACCGUAACAACACACACCCCAAAACAAGUGAUAUCGGUAUUAUUAGGAGACCCGAAAAGUGCGAGCCAAAAAAAUGUAACCUUUGCCCAAUGUGAAGAUCCUUGUUGUUGAAGGUUU